GACGAACGCUGGCGGCGUGCUUAACACAUGCAAGUCGAACGGAAAGGCGCUGCGCUUGUUGGGUGCUCGAGUGUCGAACGGGGGAGUAACACGUGAGUAACCUGCGCUUUACUUUGGGAUAACUUCAGGAAACUGGGGCGAAUAUCGCAUAUGAGCUCCUGCUGCAUGUUGGGUGUAGUAAAGAUUCGGCGGUUGUGGAUGGACUCGCGGCUUAUCAGCGUGUUGGUGGGGUAGUGGCUUACCAAGGCUUUGACGGGUAGCCGGCCUGAGAGGGUGACCGGCCACAUUGGGCCUGAGAUACGGCCCAGACUCCUACGGGAGGAAGCAGUGGGGAAUAUUGCACAAUGGGCGGAAGCCUGAUGCAGCAACGCCGCGUGCGGGAUGACGGCCUUCGGGUUGUAAACCGUUUUCGCGUGUGACGAAGCGUGAGUGACGGUAAUGGGUAAAGAAGCACCGGCUAACUACGUG
rnacentral:rRNA from 1 species